GGGCGCAAGCCUGAUGCAGCGACGCCGCGUGAGGGAUGACGGCCUUCGGGUUGUAAACCUCUUUCAGCAGGGACGAAGCGUGAGUGACGGUACCUGCAGAAGAAGCACCGGCCAACUACGUGCCAGCAGCCGCGGUAAUACGUAGGGUGCAAGCGUUGUCCGGAAUUACUGGGCGUAAAGAGCUCGUAGGCGGUUUGUCGCGUCGUCUGUGAAAACCAGCAGCUCAACUGUUGGCUUGCAGGCGAUACGGGCAGACUUGAGUAUUUCAGGGGAGACUGGAAUUCCUGGUGUAGCGGUGAAAUGCGCAGAUAUCAGGAGGAACACCGGUGGCGAAGGCGGGUCUCUGGGAAAUAACUGACGCUGAGGAGCGAAAGCGUGGGUAGCGAACAGGAUUAGAUACCCUGGUAGUCCACGCCGUAAACGGUGGGCGCUAGGUGUGGGUUUCCUUCCACGGGAUCCGUGCCGUAGCUAACGCAUUAAGCGCCCCGCCUGGGGAGUACGGCC
rnacentral:rRNA from 1 species